rnacentral:rRNA from 1 species
GUAGGUGGCAAGCGUUGUCCGGAAUUAUUGGGCGUAAAGCGCGCGCAGGCGGUUCUUUAAGUCUGAUGUGAAAGCCCACGGCUCAACCGUGGAGGGUCAUUGGAAACUGGAGAACUUGAGUACAGAAGAGGAAAGCGGAAUUCCACGUGUAGCGGUGAAAUGCGUAGAGAUGUGGAGGAACACCAGUGGCGAAGGCGGCUUUCUGGUCUGUAACUGACGCUGAGGCGCGAAAGCGUGGGGGAGCAAACAGGAUUAGGUACCCUGGUAGUCCACGCCGUAAACGAUGAGUGCUAAGUGUCAGGGGGUUUCCGCCCCUUAGUGCUGCAGCUAACGCAUUAAGCACUCCGCCUGGGAGUACGGCCGCAAGGCUG